UCCCUUCCCGUCUCCCUGCACGGGGAGACCUUCCCGAGGCAGCUGGCUUUCUCAUGCUGACUCUGCCUUCAAAUACCCGGGGGCUGGCCCUGUUCUGCCUUGGGUCCCUGGCCCUGACCGAUCCAGGAUCCAGCGCUGAACCUGCCAGGCCAGUAAUCAGAUCUGCUCGCCUGGGAAUUCAAGAGGUGGCAGGGAGAGACCCAGAGUCCCCAGGGGCGCCCUGCACCUGCAAGGGCCUGGACUCCCCUGGCCUUAAGCCAGCCAGAGUCCUUUCCUGCUGGUUUGCAUUCAAGAGACUCAGCUACUCCUGCUGGUCCUUCCCCACCAGCCCAUCUCUCCCUUUUGGGCUCACCUGCCUCCUGGCCUGGCCUGGCCUCCAGACUCAGCCCUUCCAGCCCUGGGUGAAGGCAGUCAGCAGCUUGGGUCACCGCACUGAGCGCCCCUGUUCCUGGACACUCGAAGAUGGGUAGAGGACCGCGAAACUUGUCUCGAACUGAGCCACAUUCUGUGUUGAAAGGCCAAGCAGCAUGCUCCGUGCUCACCGGAGUCCCUGCGGAUCGGCCCUCCUCCCGGGCCCUGUCACCUGGUCUCUCCAGGGCUGCUCUGCCCCCCUCCCCGCACCCCUCCCCACCACCAUUCCCACGCCACCCCUGCCCUCCACUUUGCCCUUUGCAAACACUCUCUGGCUUCCUGGAAACAAGGAGGCCUUCUAACCAGAAUUUCUCAACUUCCUCCUCUCCCUGGUGGGGUCAGUGGUCUGCAUUUUCCUCUCUCCCUGGGUCCCCAUCUGUUUUUUAGAGCUAGGUCAUCCAGGCUGACUGCACUUUGAAUCCCUUCCCUUUGUUCCUCCUCCUGGGCCCUGGUCAACCACUAGCCACUUUCUUGCCUUAUCAGUGAUACUAACCCCCCACUGCCCCCAAACACAGACUCUUUUCCUUUAUCCUUAAGUCUCCCCAGGCCCCUGCCAUCCCCUCUGGUGACCGUCUUAACUCACUCCUUCCCCGGUCCCCAAACCCCCUGUCUUCACACCUGCAUCUCCCCUGGGCCCCAGCUCCCGCCCUGGGGCUUCGGCCUCCACCCACCUCCUGCAGGGAGGCUGGGAAGAGGCUGGCUACCAACCCUCCCCUUCCGGGACUGGGCAUGGUCACCCUCCUUCCCAUCUUUUAGGCAGUGAUAUUCUCACGCCUGCUUCUCUGAGCUUCCCUAGUGCUGUGUCUCUUUCUGGGUCUCUCUCCCUCUCUCUCUUCCUGUCCUCAUUUGUGACCCCAUUCAGGACCGGAGCUGCAGCUCGUGAAUGGGACUCGAAUCCGGUCCGGCUCAGACCAGCCGGGAAGACGAAAUCCUGGUUGGCUGGCCGGACUAGCAGCUGGGUCUGCUAAGCUGUCGAAUACCAGGGUGAGCUGCUGCCGGGACCGCUGUUGCUGCCGCCUUGGGGACCCUCGGUGACAACAAAAGCAACGUGAAGAAAGCAGACUGGGGACAGAGGAGGAGACAGGUGAAUCGGACUCCAGCCCUUGCGAAUCUGGAUCUGGCCAUGCGUACAGGACCUGCCCUUAGGCUUUUCAGCAGUGGGGGCUGACGCGGACCCACUUGUGCGUAAGCUGGUCUCGCUGGAUUGUUUGUCACUUGCUGUCAAAGUAGGCACCUCAAGCAAGACUGAGGCCACUUGGUCCAGGACCCACCAGGCCGGGUCCUCCUCGUCUGGCCUCCCUGGCUUCAUUCCUGGCACCGUGUCCUCUGUCUGUCAACAACUCUGACAUGCCGACUCCUCCCACUUGAGCGUCCCUCACACGUGGUGGCAGGUUUCAUCUCUGCAUUGUUUCGGUGAUUUCCUCGCUGGCUUCCCUGUCCCCGCUCAACCCUCCGCUCUGCAGCUUGGAUGUUUCUAGAGCACAGCCCUGAGGCACCAGCUGAGACGCACAACGGCCUUCCCCAGUCUGCCUUUGACCAGAAUCUAGGUCCGUUAUCCAAACCCUGCUCACUCCCGCAUUCAUUCCCUGUGUGGGUUUCACUGUCCUCGCUGUGGGUCAAGGAGCGAGCCCACCUACCGUCAGCCAGUAGCCCACCCCCCUCUGGCGGGCCCCGCAGCCUGCACUCAGGCCUCCCUGCACUGUCCCCGGCCUCCCUGGCUGCCUCACCCACCGCCAGUCUGCUGAAACCCUCCCAAGUGCCAGUCUGCGGGACGUCUGGGUCCCCAGCCAGAAGAGUCCCCCCUGCCUAUGAGCACCCACAGUGCCCUGCGCUCUGGCACCGUUUGACAACACCGUUCUUUUCCCAGGGCCACUUGCCUACAUCUUUCCCUCCUAGACUUCUGGAGAGCAGGGUCUGCGUCUCCCUCGCCUUGGGAUCCCCUACCAGUACCUGCCCCUCCUGGGUGCUCGCAGGUACUUGCUGAGUGAACGAAGGAAUGGCCAUGCCCGAGCACGAUGCCUCCUGAGUUCCAGCUCCCCUCCCCACCCCCCAUUAAAUAAGAAAUUAAACAAAAAAAAAGACAAGACAAUGCAGGGGAGGGAGGGAUGAAUAGGUGGAACGCAGAGGGUUUCUCAGGCAGCGAAACUACCCUGGGUGAUACCAUCAUGGUGGGUACAUGUCCUUAUACCUUCGCCCACACCCACAGAAUGUACAACCCCAGGAGUGAGUUUUAGGGUCAACGAUGGACUCUGGGUGAUGAUGACCGGUCAGCAGGCUCUACAUUUUCAUUUUGCACCAGAUCCCCAUCCCAGCCACCAGCCCUGGCUGAGAGAGAAGGAGGUACCAGAAGACAGGGCGGCCCAAGGUUCCAGGCAGCUCCCUGGUGUGGGUGACGACGAGGAGAAGAGCACAGGAGCACCGCAGUGUGCACAUGGCUGCAUAAACACAUCCCGGACGAGGAAGGAAAAAUAAGUGGGGCCCCCUAAAACGGCAGUAUUCAAUGAAUACAAAUAGUACCUAAGCAGCGAGAUGACUGCUUUAAUUUUUUUCUUCCUGUUGUCCUGUGGCUCCCCAAUUUUCUGCACUGAGCAGCUAUUACUUUGAUUUCAAAGCCCCAGCCGGGAGCUGCCCGGGGGGGACGCGGA